rnacentral:misc_RNA from 1 species
GAUGAAGAACGCAGCGAAAUGCGAUACGUAAUGUGAAUUGCAGAAUUCAGUGAAUCAUCGAAUCUUUGAACGCACAUUGCGCCUGCCAGCACUCUGGCAGGCAUGCCUGUUCGAGCGUCAUUUCAACCAUCAAGCCCUAGGCUUGCGUUGGAGCCCUGCGGCUGCCGCAGGCCCCUAAAAGCAGUGGCGGGCUCGCUAUCACACCGAGUGCAGUAGAUUACUCUUCGCUCAGGGCGUGUGGCGGGUUCCAGCCGUGAAACCCCCAACUUCUCAAGGUUGACCUCGGAUCAGGUAGGAAUACCCGCUGAACUUAAGCAUAUCAAUAAGCGGAGGA